rnacentral:rRNA from 1 species
GCGUUGUUCGGAAUUAUUGGGCGUAAAGCGCGUGUAGGCGGUUUGUUAAGUCUGGUGUGAAAGCCCUGGGCUCAACCUGGGAAGUGCAUUGGAUACUGGCAAACUUGAGUACGGGAGAGGAUAGUGGAAUUUCGAGUGUAGGGGUGAAAUCCGUAGAUAUUCGAAGGAACACCGGUGGCGAAGGCGGCUAUCUGGACCGAUACUGACGCUGAGACGCGAAAGCGUGGGGAGCAAACAGGAUUAGAUACCCUGGUAGUCCACGCCGUAAACGAUGGGUACUAGGUGUUGCGGGUAUUGACCCCUGCAGUGCC